rnacentral:rRNA from 13 species
UGUGACCUCAAAUCAGGUAGGA